rnacentral:rRNA from 1 species
AAAACAUGUCUUUUUGGUAAUAAUUUAAAGUCUAAUCUGCCCACUGAUUUAAAUUAAAGGGCUGCAGUAUAUUGACUGUACAAAGGUAGCAUAAUCAUUAGUUUUUUAAUUGAAAACUUGUAUGAAGGAUUUGAUGAAAUAUAAACUGUCUCUUAUUUAAAAUUAAAAAUUUAUUUUUUAGUUAAAAAGCUAAAAUAAUUUUAAAAGACGAGAAGACCCUAUAGAGUUUUAUAUUAAAUUAUUUUAUAAUUAUUUAUAUAAUUAAAAAUUAAAAAUGAAUUUAAUAUUUUAUUGGGGUGAUAGAAAAAUUAAAAAAACUUUUUUUAAAUUAUUAACAUAGAUAUAUGAAUAAAUGAUCCAUAAUUAAUGAUUAUAAGAAAAAAUUACCUUAGGGAUAACAGCGUAAUAUUUUUUUUUAGUUCAUAUAAAAAAAAAAGUUUGCGACCUCGAUGUUGGAUUAAGAUAAAAUUUAAAUGCAAAAGUUUAAAAGUUUUGAUCUGUUCGAUCAUUAAAAUCUUACAUGAUCUG